GACCCCACUGCACAAACACAUACAUGGCAUGCACAGAUUUAUUGGGAUUUUAAAUUAAAACCCCCAAAACAAAACAUUACUAUUAUGCAAAAAAAAAUUAAAAAGAUUAUUAUGCAGCAAUUUAUGUUCUUCUUCUCCAAUUGUGACUUUCUUUUCUUCCCUCUAAACUAAACAUUCCCUGUGCCUUCUUCUGAAUAUAUGUAUUUAUAAAAAGGCUAUGUUAGAGUUCAUUUGGUUUGUCUAGGUCACACAUCCAUUCAAUUCAUUUCUUCUCUCAUUCUUAUAGCUUCUUUGUUGUGUGAUAUUAUUGUCAUUGAGGUGCAUUUAUCUACAUGUAAUGUAUAACCACACACAUGCAUUACAUUACAUGUAUGCUUAGAUAUAUAGCAUUGGUUUGUUGAGGCCAAUUGCAUUUUGUGUUUUAUUUUGGCAAUUGCAUUCAUCUCUCUUCUUCUUCCAUUUAUCUUCUUCUCUUGUGUUUGUUUUGAGAGAGAUUCAUUUCAAAUGGCUCAAUUGCCACCAAAGAUUCCAAACAUGCCACCAACUUGGUCAGAUUUUUCUUCUAACCAAAAGAAUAUUAUACCUUCCCUUAAAAACAUGACACCAAAUGCUGCAACCCAACGUCAUCAUCAUCAUCAUGGUCAGAGUCCUUCAUGGGUGGAUGAGUUCCUUGACUUCUCGUCGUCGAGGCGCGGGGCCCACCGGCGGUCGGUGAGCGACCCGGUGACCUUCGUGGAGAUGAUGCCGCCGGCAAUGCUGGAGCAUUGCCACCGGAAAGUUGGUAGUGGUGGCGGCGAGUUCGACCGGUUUGAUGAUGAGCAAUUCUUGUCCAUGUUCAGCGACGAGGUUUCUGGGAACCCGGUGAUGCCGCCGCCACCGACGGUGUCCUGUUCUGACCCUUCCACGCCUUCGGAUCACAAUAGCAUCAACGAUGAGAAAGAAAUGAAAGGAGAGAAAGAGGUAGAACAAGAAAAAGAGGAGCAACAGCAGCAAUUGAAGCAGGAAUCGGAUGAGGAUGAAAGCCAAAUCCAAUGCAAGCAGGAAGCUGCAGGAGCUACCAAUGAAGAUAACAAUAAUAAUAAUGAUUCAAAUGCAGCAACUUUAUCCAGUGACAGAAUCACUGACCCCAAGAGGGUCAAAAGAAUCUUGGCAAAUAGACAAUCUGCACAAAGGUCAAGAGUGAGGAAACUGCAAUACAUAUCAGAGCUUGAGCGGAGUGUGACUUCAUUACAGGCUGAAGUUUCAGUUCUGUCUCCACGGGUUGCAUUUUUGGAUCAUCAGAGAUUGCUUCUAAAUGUUGAUAACAGUGCUCUCAAGCAAAGAAUAGCAGCACUUGCACAAGACAAGAUCUUCAAAGAUGCUCAUCAAGAAGCACUGAAGAGAGAGAUAGACAGAUUGAGGCAAGUGUAUCACCAACAAAACAUGAAGAAGAUGGAUAGUGCUACAGGGUCACAAUCCCCAUCCCCAUCACCAAAACCAAGAUGUGAUACUCACACUGAAAAGGAGCAUCUUAUCAAUGCUUGAACUUUGAGCCCUCCUCAUAAGACUUUCCAACGAUGUUUAGAGAUUCUUCUACAAUUCAUUUCGAAUGCAAAAUCAAUUUAAGAGAUAAAUUUGUGUGAGUAUUUUUUAAGUGUCAAAAAUACAUUCUGAGGGGAAAAAGACAGAUCAUGAUGACAUACCCAACUAGCAUGUUCACAUGAUCUGAUCCUCUGAUUAUUUUUACUUUUUUAUAGAAGAAAUUGCAGAAUUUUGGAUAAGAGAUGGGAAAAUCAAUGUGAAAAAGGGAGAGAAUUAAAAGCUUAGCCUAUGUUUAGAAAAUUCUUCUACAAUUAAUUUUGAAAGCAAAAUUAGUGCAUAUUUGGGACACAGAGAAGAAUACAAUAAGCUAAUAAAAUUAUGAUAGAUAAAAAUAACUUUUCUUCGUUUGGUGGCUAUCCAUCAUCAUUUUAAUUUUACUGUAGUUUUUGACAUCAUUUAAUUAUGAGAAGUUGAAUUGAGUAGGUUCUAAAAUUGAUUUGGAAGAAAGAGGAGCUAAUCUAUCUGAAUGUGCUCUCACUGCUAGUGAUCUAAUGAAUGGUAUGAGGUACUGUUGGGUAGUGAGAGGUUGAGAUAUUUUAUUAGCCAAUUGAUGAGAAGAGUGACAUUAUAGGGUGGUGAGGCCAAAUUGGUGGUAGGCUAUUGCUAUCAAACUGCCGCAGUCACGUGCUGUGUUUACUUUACACAAGGGGACCACUCAAAGCUGCAUGAUUGGGAUGCAGGGAGAUACAUGUGCACCAGUGACAUCAAAGAAGAAAGAAAGAAACACCUUGUGGUGUGUCUGCUUUAACUACACUAGGGUGGGACUUGGGAGGAGCCAGUGCUCCUAUUUUACAAUGAAUCUGGCUCUGUCGGAGUUGCUGAUUGUGCGGCAAAUAGAAAACCUACGGUAUGGCUUCAACGACACCAACAAGGGUCAAUCAAGCAUCUCUAAGAACAAGAGAAUAAGGGAAAAGUUCUAUAGAUUCCAAACAAGCAACAACAAGAGCUAAAAGGAACGACAGAUGAAACGAUGGGUGUAGCGGGUGAGAAGGAACCAACCGGGAUGCCAAUGGGAGCAAAGACCGUGAGCGGAAGCCAACAGGGGGAGACUAUGGCAAGACAUGUAGCCAAAGCUGAAGGUGGAGGUCCGAGCUGCUGUCGUGGAAGGUGGAGCAAAGGAUCCAAACCCCACUUUCACUUCAAAACAAAUCAGACAAAGCCUCACCCCCUUCCAACUUAGAGCACCGCCAGAAAAAGAAGGAAGAGAUGACCUCGGGCUCGGGUUGCGGAUAUGCGUCACCGCAACAUAUCAUGCUUCUAGAUCACAGAGGCUUAACCGGAGAUAUGACUUUCUCAAGAUAUGGCAUUUAAAAUGCUAGAUCUUUGUUGUGCUCCCGAUGAUAGAUGGAGGUUGCAGAGGUGACCAAGGUGGAGGCUUAGGUGGAGGGUAGAGGAACAUGGUGAAUUGGUGAUGGUUAAGGAAAGGCAUGAGAACCUAGAGUCCUGGACAGAGAUAAUGUUGUCGUGUAAAUCUUAUUUGGUAAAGAACAUAACAAAAUGUGCACAAGGCUCAAAGAUCACAAUUGUCCAUUUGGAUUUACUCACAAUUGAAGGCUUAACAUAUGCCGUUAA